rnacentral:rRNA from 1 species
GCCCGAUGAACCUGAAUAUCCAUUAUGGAAAAUUCAUCAUUAAAGUUAUAAUAUUUAAAUAAUAUUAUAGAAAUAGUGUGCAUUUUUUCCAUAUAAGGACAUUGUAAUCUAUUAACAUAUCUAAUUUAUCAUAAAAUAUGACUUAUAGUUUAUUCAAAUUAUUAUGCUUGCAUUUUAACAUAGGAUAAAUGUCAUUAAUUUGAUAAAGUGUUGAUAGAUUAAUAAGAAUACAGUGCGUUAAUUUUUCGGAAUUAUAUAAUGGCAUAAUUAUCAUUGAUUUUUGUGUUUAUUAUAUGCACUUGUAUGAUUAACAAUGCGAAAGAUUCAGGAUACUUCGGG